AGCAAUUACCUCCUCCUAAUUUCCAUCACAUCUUGGCACCUUCCAUGCAGCUGGAGUUAUCUUUGUGAUGCACGCUUUUUAUGAAUAGUGAAUCAGAGUCAUCGGGAAGCAAGUGCUCGCCAGGGGACAGACGCAAACAGGUUUCCAUCCCUUCUCCCUUUCACACAUGCAUGGCAACCCCAGUUCCUUUGCUGGGUCUUUCCUGGUGGGUUUUGCGGUCACGCAGCCUGCGCAGUAGCGUGUGUGCCUGCAGACCCCGCGCCUGCCGGAGAGAGCCCAGCAGAGCCGUCUUAGUGACGCUGAGAGCCAGCUCCUUCUCCAUGCUUCAAAGAAAAGCUCCCAAAGAGACCUUGCCAAGGAAAUGAAGCCUCACCACCUGGAAUUUGCAUAAAACGAAGGAAGAAACGUAGAAUUCUAGAAAGUUGGUUGGAAAUUUGAGGGUGGCUGCGGAGUAGGAGAACAGGCCAGGCAUUUGAGAGGAAAAGAAGAAUUUGGCUCCAGACUGGCUUCUCAAACAAGCCGUGUAAUUACCCUGAGCCUGUGUGCUCCUGUGCAUGUGGAGACGACGCUGCUUGCGGAGCUGCCAGGAGAGGAGCUGAAUGACAUGCGGGGGGCGGCGGGGCUCCUCUUUCCCUCCUUGGGGGUUGACUGCGGCUGAGGUGACUGAACAAAGUUCUUUAUUUUUCGUGUAACCCAGUAUUUAUAAAGCCUUCCAUUUCUGGCUA